GGGCUAUAAAAUAUAUUAUGCACAUUGGGUUGCGUGACAACAAUAUUGUUAUACUUUAAACCUAUGACCGAAGUCACGCAAUCAUAUGUUUAAUAAAUUACUCAAUCGAUACGCCACAUGCUAUAUGAAAUUCCAUUAUUUUGUUACCCAAGUCCAUUUCAAACAGUCGCAAGUCGGCGGAAACCAGCAGUAUGCAAGCGGUCGGCAUUCAGUUACCUGCAAAUUGUAUAUAAAAGCUUUUAAAAGAAUUUUAAAUAAUUUUUUUAUUUAUUAAGACGUUCAAUGUUUAUCCACUGAUAAGGAUGGAAAACUUACAACAAGGAUCCAUGUAUUUUAUGUUCAAAUUUGGAGGAAAUUACUUAUUAAAUAACGUCAGAUUUGAUUAAACCAUCUGUUUAUGGAUGAUUUGCGUCUAUAAGAAAAACGGAAUCUCAUAAAACUGUCGAAUAUUGCCUCGAUGAAGUAAAACGUAUAAUAGUGUGCGCUGUACCAUUAAUUUAUAAUUGUUAUUAUUAUAUGUAUUUAAUAUAAUAUUAGUUUUCAUAAUCAAUGGCUGUACGUUUCGUCAGAUACGAUUAAAUAGAAAUCUAUGGCGCUCUGGCGGUAAUAGCCAAUUGAACCGUCAUGGGUGUUCACUGGUCAUUUAUCUUCACUGAAUGACCAAUUAACUGACCAUCGCCGUGAAAUACAUGGUCGUAUAUAAUAUGGUCGUUAACUUGUGGAAGGGCACUCUGAGAAAUUUUCGUUCAAAUAAGGCGUCGCGCAAUAAAAAAUAGUUUGGGAACCUCCGAUGUAUUUCUGUUUAAAAAUAACCA